UCCCAUGAUGGCAUGAAAUCUUUGAGACCUGAUUUUAUAUUUUGAUGAAAUUCACAAGCAGUGUUUGCUGAGGAU